rnacentral:rRNA from 1 species
GACGGAGGGCGCAAACGUUGUUCGGAAUCACUGGGCGUAAAGGGCGCGUAGGCGGGAGAGUAAGUCAGACGUGAAAUCCCGGGGCUCAACUCCGGGACUGCGCUUGAAACUGCUAUCCUAGAGUGCAGGAGAGGGAGGCGGAAUUCCAGGUGUAGCGGUGGAAUGCGUAGAUAUCUGGAAGAACACCAGUGGCGAAGGCGGCCUCCUGGACUGACACUGACGCUGAGGCGCGAAAGCGUGGGGAUCAAACAGGAUUAGAAACCCGGGUAGU